rnacentral:rRNA from 1 species
UACGGGGGGGGGCAAGCGUUGUUCGGAAUUACUGGGCGUAAAGGGCUCGUAGGCGGCCAACUAAGUCGGAUGUGAAAUCCCCCAAGCUUAACUUGGGAACUGCAUCCGAUACUGGAUGGCUUGAAUCCGGGAGAGGGAUGCAGAAUUCCAGGUGUAGCGGUGAAAAUGCGUAGAUAUCUGGAGGAAUACCGGUGGCGAAGGCGGCAUCCUGGACCGGCAUUGACGCUGAGGAGCGAAAGCUAGGGGAGCAAACGGG